rnacentral:lncRNA from 1 species
AUGCUCGGGGCCAUUCAGUGUACUCCGGGCGUGAGGGGGUGUGCAGAACACCAACCCUUGAAUGAACACCCUCCCUCAAGGCCUGGAUUUUUUUUUUUUUUUUUCCCCGGAGCCAAUGACUGCAAAAGGAACAGUCUUAUUAAGAUCUCUAUUAGCCCGAAUUCAAAAGCGAGGCAGGGAACGCUCCUCCGCGGAGCCAAGGACACAACUUUGCAGGGAGACCCGGGAGAGGGAGAGGAUGGGGCAGAUCUUCAACACGAUUACAAAGAAAAACAAAAGGAAGGAAAAGAAUACCUUGUUUCGACAGAGCGAGCGCACCUUUCAACUAAAGAACUCCGGGUCGUAGGAAACCAUCCUCACCCUGGAAAGGGGGAAACUGAAAGAAAAAGCAGAACACGCCAUUAACGAGGCCAGAGCCCCGACUGCCUUUCCUGGACGGGAGCCACCAGCACCCCGAGGCCGAGCGAUCCAGACGGACAGCCGGGGCUCUCGGGGCCGUCGGGGGCCGGCCGGCGGCCCGUGCCUCAGUUUCCCCAUCUGUAAAGGUCUCCCCCGCGGCUCCCACGGCAGGUCCUCUCUGUUCGGAGGUCCCGGCGGCGGCGACCACGCUCCCCCGGCUCGGCAGCCCUCUCGGGAAGCCGGGGGCGGGGAGGGGUGGGGGGGAGCCCCGGGGGGGGAGCCCGGGCUGACGUCAGCGGGCUCAGCACCCCGCGGGCCUGGCCGGCUCCGGGCCAGGGCAACUAACGGGCCGGCGCCGAGGGCCCGACGGCCGCGGCGGCAGCUGGAGGCGCCCCGAGGCCGGGGAGGGACGCCUGGGGGGCAGCCGCCCGCCCGCUCGCUCACUCACCUCGGCGGCCGGGCGUCGCCCCUUCCCGGGGUCGCUAGCCCGCGUCCCGGUCCGGCCCCAGCGCCCCACACCCACCGCCUUAAUAUUUACCUCCGACGCGCGGCCGCGGCGCAGCCGAACCUGCUACCUGGGCCCGCCCCCACCUGCCCCGCCUCCGAGCCGCCCCGGGGGGGGAAGAGGGGAGCGGGGGGAGGGGCGGCUGCCGCGCUGGCCAAUCACAGCCCGAGACCCGUCUCUGUGCGCGCUCUGAUUGGGCGGCCCUCUGACAGACCUUCCUCCAAUGGCUGCCGGCCGGGAGCCGGCUGAAGGGACUUUCCGCUCCGUCAAGCUCGGUCGAGCCAA